rnacentral:pre_miRNA from 1 species
UGGGCCCAAGGUGAGGGGUGCUAUCUGUGAUUGAGGGACAUGGUCAAUGGAAUUGUCUCACACAGAAAUCGCACCCGUCACCUUGGCCUGCUGA